GGUUAAGCGACUAAGCGUACACGGUGGAUGCCUAGGCAAUCAGAGGCGAUGAAGGACGUGCUAAUCUGCGAUAAGCGUCGGUAAGGUGAUAUGAACCGUUACAACCGACGAUUUCCGAAUGGGGAAACCCAGUGCAAUYCGUUGCACUAUCGUUUGAUGAAUACAUAGUCAAACGAAGCGAACCGGGGGAACUGAAACAUCUCAGUACCCCGAGGAAAAGAAAUCAACCGAGAUUCCCCUAGUAG
rnacentral:rRNA from 1 species